rnacentral:rRNA from 1 species
GACGAACGCUGGCGGCGUGCUUAACACAUGCAAGUCGAACGGAAAGGCCCUGCUUUUGUGGGGUGCUCGAGUGGCGAACGGGUGAGUAACACGUGAGUAACCUGCCCUUGACUUUGGGAUAACUUCAGGAAACUGGGGCUAAUACCGGAUAGGAGCUCCUGCUGCAUGGUGGGGGUUGGAAAGUUUCGGCGGUUGGGGAUGGACUCGCGGCUUAUCAGCUUGUUGGUGGGGUAGUGGCUUACCAAGGCUUUGACGGGUAGCCGGCCUGAGAGGGUGACCGGCCACAUUGGGACUGGGAUACGGCCCAGACUCCUACGGGGGGCAGCAGUGGGGAAUAUUGCACAAUGGGCGGAAGCCUGAUGCAGCAACGCCGCGUGCGGGAGGACGGCCUUCGGGUGGUAAACCGCUUUCGCCUGUGACGAAGCGUGAGUGACGGUAAUGGGGAAAGAAGCACCGGCUAACUACGG